AUUGAACGCUGGCGGCAGGCUUAACACAUGCAAGUCGAGCGGGGUGAUGGUGCUUGCACUAUCACUUAGCGGCGGACGGGUGAGUAAUGCUUAGGAAUCUGCCUAUUAGUGGGGGACAACAUCUCGAAAGGGAUACUAAUACCGCAUACGUCCUACGGGAGAAAGCAGGGGAUCACUUGUGACCUUGCGCUAAUAGAUGAGCCUAAGUCGGAUUAGCUAGUUGGUGGGGUAAAGGCCUACCAAGGCGACGAUCUGUAGCGGGUCUGAGAGGAUGAUCCGCCACACUGGAACUGAGACACGGCCCAGACUCCUACGGGAGGCAGCAGUGGGGAAUAUUGGACAAUGGGGGGAACCCUGAUCCAGCCAUGCCGCGUGUGUGAAGAAGGCCUUAUGGUUGUAAAGCACUUUAAGCGAGGAGGAGGCUCUUUUGGUUAAUACCCAAGAUGAGUGACGUUACUCGCAGAAUAAGCACCGGCUAACUCUGUGCCAGCCGCCGCGGUAA
rnacentral:rRNA from 1 species